GAUGAACGCUAGCGGCAGGCCUAACACAUGCAAGUCGAGGGAGAAGCCUUUCGGGGCCGCAACCGGCGCACGGGUGCGUAACGCGUAUGCAACCUACCUUUCACAGGGGGAUAGCCCGAAGAAAUUUGGAUUAAUACCCCAUAAUAUUGUUGGAUGGCAUCAUCUGAUAAUUAAAACUGCGGUGGUGAAAGAUGGGCAUGCGUCCUAUUAGCUAGUUGGAGUGGUAACGGCACCCCAAGGCUACGAUAGGUAGGGGUCCUGAGAGGGAGAUCCCCCACACUGGUACUGAGACAGGGACCAGACUCCUACGGGAGGCAGCAGUGAGGAAUAUUGGUCAAUGGUCGGAAGACUGAACCAGCCAUGCCGCGUGCAGGAAGAAUGCCUUAUGGGUUGUAAACUGCUUUUAUAUGGGAAGAAUAAGGUGUACGUGUACAUUGAUGACGGUACCAUAUGAAUAAGCAUCGGCUAACUCCGUG
rnacentral:rRNA from 1 species